UACGAAGGGGGCUAGCGUUGUUCGGAAUUACUGGGCGUAAAGCGCACGUAGGCGGAUAUUUAAGUCAGGGGUGAAAUCCCGCAGCUCAACUGCGGAACUGCCUUUGAUACUGGGUAUCUUGAGUAUGGAAGAGGUGAGUGGAAUUGCGAGUGUAGAGGUGAAAUUCGUAGAUAUUCGGAAGAACACCAGUGGCGAAGGCGACUUACUGGACACAUAUUGACGCUGAGGUGCGAAAGCGUGGGGAGCAAACAGG
rnacentral:rRNA from 1 species